rnacentral:rRNA from 1 species
CGGGGCUAAUACCGGAUAACAUUUUUGAACUGCAUGGUUUCGAAAUUUGAAAGGCGGCUUUCGGCUGUCACUUAUGGAUGGACCCGCGUCGCAUUAGCUAGUUUGGUGAGGUAACGGCUCACCAAGGCAACGAUGCGUAGCCGACCUGAGAGGGUGAUCGGCCACACUGGGACUGAGACACGGCCCAGACUCCUACGGGAGGCAGCAGUAGGGAAUCUUCCGCAAUGGACGAAAGUCUGACGGAGCAACGCCGCGUGAGUGAUGAAGGCUUUCGGGUCGUAAAACUCUGUUGUUAGGGAAGAACAAGUGCUAGUUGAAUAAGCUGGCACCUUGACGGUACCUAACCAGAAAGCCACGGCUAACUACGUGCCAGCAGCCGCGGUAAUACGUAGGUGGCAAGCGUUAUCCGGAAUUAUUGGGCGUAAAGCGCGCGCAGGUGGUUUCUUAAGUCUGAUGUGAAAGCCCACGGCUC